rnacentral:rRNA from 1 species
GUGCCAGCAGCCGCGGUAAUACGAAGGGGGCGAGCGUUGUUCGGAAUUACUGGGCGUAAAGGGCGCGUAGGCGGCCGAUCAAGUUAGAUGUGAAAGUCCUGGGCUCAACCUGGGGACUGCAUUUGAUACUGAUUGGCUUGAAUCCGGGAGAGGAUAGCGGAAUUCCCAGUGUAGAGGUGAAAUUCGUAGAUAUUGGGAAGAACACCAGUGGCGAAGGCGGCUAUCUGGACCGGCAUUGACGCUGAGGCGCGAAAGCGUGGGGAGCAAACAGGAUUAGAUACCCCGGUAGUCC